UACAGAGGGGGCAAGCGUUUAUUCGGAAUUAUUGGGCGUAAAGGGCGCGUAGGCGGCUUUGCAAGUGACGGGUGAAAUCCCUCGGCUUAACCGAGGAACUGCCUGUCAAACUGCAUGGCUUGAGACCAGGAGAGGUGAGUGGAAUUCCCAGUGUAGCGGUGAAAUGCGUAGAUAUUGGGAGGAACACCAGUGGCGAAGGCGGCUCACUGGACCGGUACUGACGCUGAGGCGCGAAAGCGUGGGGAGCAAACAGG
rnacentral:rRNA from 1 species